rnacentral:lncRNA from 1 species
GGGAAGUGAAGAACAAAAAAGGAAAACUUUAUUUAUGUGUACACGGAGCAUAUGUCACCACCUUGACGUGUAUGUUCGACUUCGUUACAUGAUUUCUAGCGAUGAGAGGCCUCAGGAAAUGAGUUGGAUCUGAAUGCGUAAGAAUUUCUGAACCCACUCUCCCUUCAACUCUAUUACAUGCCUGAAUUCAUUGAAACAUUCUUCGCAGGGUCAGCCCAUCCUAGGCAGGGAGAAUAGACAGCGCCAAGGUCCACGGCUACAACGAUGAAUGGACUUGCAUGGUGCAGAC